AGCUUUGCGCAGUGGCAGUAUCGUAGCCAAUGAGGUUUAUCCGAGGCGUGAUUAUUGCUAAUUGAAUUUUUCCUUCUUUUUACCCUUUCCCUAUCCUCACUAAUAACAUUUUGACUCCCAGAAUUUUUUUCUUUUAUA